CCUCUCCACCACACUACUCCUUUUCCCCCACCACUACAUUCUUUCUCCCACUCUCACAACUUUUCUCCCACCAUUAUCACACUCCAUAGAAGCCUUUGAAGCCCCAAGAGAAGUAGCAAAGCAAGGGAGAGUGUGGGAAAACUAUAGAGUGAAGGUUGUGCUUCGAGGGUCCGGGCGACAGAAAGUGAAGCCGAAGAAGAAACGACUCUACGCCAGCUUUAAGAACAAUUGAGGUUGAGCAGGCGAUGGAAUGGAUCGGUGUUGAGCGGAUUUCCCUUUUGAUGUUUAUGUAAUGAAACCUUGAGUAUGCAUCUCCAUAUGCAUAACUCACACGUUUUUUCGCUGCAAACACUCUGACCUAUUUAUCAUUUCUACUUGAACUUAUUACUACUUCAUUUUAAUUAACUUUCAGUUGGGGUCUAGUCGUUAUGGCAGACUCAUUUGUGAAUUACCCAAGUGGUUAUAUAUAUAUACCACUAGUUUGUUAUUAAUGUUGGUUACUUAGUAAAUCCCCUUUAAUUUCCGUUU